rnacentral:sRNA from 1 species
AAACAAAAAGAAGAAAAAAG